rnacentral:lncRNA from 1 species
AGGCGUGGAUGUAUUGAUGGUGCUCAUGUCCUCAUCACUAUAUCUGAACAUAACAAAUCGAGCCUCCACUUGAGCCUUUUCAACUAUGAGGACCAUCGGGUGCGUCUAAAAUUGUUUCUUAGCCUAUGGUGCAUUAGGCGUAAACCGUGCACAUAUCUUCUACCAACACUGACACUGUCUCUAAACAAACCGAAGCAAGAUUCCAUAUGACAAACAUCAUCAAGGAGUUAUAUCAGGUGUGUCCUAAUUGAUUUCUGAGCAUAUCAUAUGUUCCAUGCAAACCGUGCAUCUAUCUUGCAUCAAGAUUAGCACUAUCUCCAAACAGACGAAACAGAGCUUUCACUUGAGCCCCUUGACCUAGGAGUACCAUCAGGUGCGUCCAAAAUGGUUUCUUAUCCUAUGGUGCAUAUCUUGCACCGAAACUAACGUUGUCUCUAAACGGACUGAAGUGAGAUUCCAUAUGACACAUGUCAUCUAGGAGUUCCAUCUGGUGUGUCCAAAUUGAUUUCUGAACAUAUGGUAUGUUCCAUGCAAAUCGUGCACCUAUCUUGCAUCAAGAUUAGGACUAUCUCUAAACAGACCAAACCGAGCCUCCACUUGAGCCUCUUCACCUAGGAGU